rnacentral:snRNA from 1 species
GGGUGAUCUGGCUGUGCUAUCUGUCACCCCAGUGGUCUCCUGCUUUGAUGCGGCUGACCCCGCUGCUCGGGUGGGUGUGUCUUUUCUUUUGCGUCCCUCCCAAAGCUGCAUGCUCGGUUGAAGACAAGGGCCUUCCCCAAACAGAAAUGGGCCACCCCUUAGUCAAGGGUAUACGAGCAGUUGUGCUGCCCUGCUAGGACUUCUGAACAAGCUCUCAAAAUGCUGGGGGCCAGGGAGGGGGCAGUGUGCAUGCCUUCCAUGUGAAGGAUCUGGGUCCCAU